CCUGGCUCAGAUUGAACGCUGGCGGCAUGCCUAACACAUGCAAGUCGAACGGCAACAGUAUCUAGCUUGCUAGAUAGCUGGCGAGUGGCGAACGGGUGAGUAACGCGUAGGAAUAUACCUUAAAGAGGGGGACAACUUGGGGAAACUCAAGCUAAUACCGCAUAAUUUCGCGAGAAAAAAGCUGGGGACCUUCGGGCCUGGCGCUUUAAGAUUAGCCU
rnacentral:rRNA from 1 species